rnacentral:rRNA from 1 species
UACGGAGGAUGCGAGCGUUAUCCGGAUUUAUUGGGUUUAAAGGGUGCGUAGGCGGGCUGUUAAGUCAGCGGUCAAAUGUCGGGGCUCAACCCCGGCCUGCCGUUGAAACUGGCGGCCUCGAGUGGGCGAGAAGUAUGCGGAAUGCGUGGUGUAGCGGUGAAAUGCAUAGAUAUCACGCAGGACUCCGAUUGCGAAGGCAGCAUACCGGCGCCCGACUGACGCUGAGGCACGAAAGCGUGGGUAUCGAACAGG